AUUGAACGCUGGCGGAAUGCUUUACGCAUGCAAGUCGAGCGGCAGCGCGGGGGCAACCCUGGCGGCGAGCGGCGAACGGGUGAGUAAUGCAUCGGAACGUACCCAGUCGUGGGGGGAUAACGUGGCGAAAGUCACGCUAAUACCGCAUACGUCCUGAGGGAGAAAGCAGGGGAUCGCAAGACCUUGCGCGAUUGGAGCGGCCGAUGUCUGAUUAGCUAGUUGGUGGGGUAAAGGCCUACCAAGGCGACGAUCAGUAGCUGGUCUGAGAGGACGAUCAGCCACACUGGGACUGAGACACGGCCCAGACUCCUACGGGAGGCAGCAGUGGGGAAUUUUGGACAAUGGGCGAAAGCCUGAUCCAGCCAUUCCGCGUGAGUGAAGAAGGCCUCGGUUGUAAAG
rnacentral:rRNA from 1 species